rnacentral:tRNA from 1 species
GGAGAUGUAGUCUAAUUGGAUAGGCAUGGUGCUUCUAACGCCAUACAUGAGAGUUCGAGCCUCUUCAUCUCUU